rnacentral:rRNA from 1 species
AACGCGAAGAACCUUACCUGGGCUCGAAGCGCAGUGGACUGGGGUAGAAAUAUCCCUUUCCCGCAAGGGACUGCUGCGGAGGUGCUGCAUGGCUGUCGUCAGCUCGUGUCGUGAGAUGUUGGGUUAAGUCCCGCAACGAGCGCAACCCUUAUCCCUAGUUGCUACCGGGUCAAGCCGAGCACUCUAGUGAAACUGCCUCGGAUAACGAGGAGGAAGGUGGGGAUGACGUCAAGUCCGCAUGGCCUUUAUGUCUGGGGCAACACACGUGCUACAAUGGUCGGUACAAUAGGCAGCGAAGCCGCGAGGUGGAGCAAAUCCGAAAAAGCCGAUCUCAGUUCAGAUUGGAGUCUGCAAUUCGACUCCAUGAAGUUGGAAUUGCUAGUAAUGGCGUGUCAGCACAGCGCCGUGAAUACGUUCCCGGGCCUUGUACACACCGAGUAUA